AUUGAGCCUCAACCAAAUGUGCCAAAAACUCCUCCUAAACCAGCCUUGAGGCCUCUCCAGAAACCAGUUAUUCGGCGUAAACCAAAACCUCAGGAAAAUAAGCCAGUGGAUCCUGAAAAUUUCGUUGUCUUCGAGGACAUCCUGCUUAUUGGACAGGAACGGUGCAUAGAAGAUUGGCCCGAGGACAGCCCUGAGCUUAACCCUGACUUCAAACCGUCUGGGAAACUUCGACUACGGAGGGAGUCACUGAAG